GGGUCCCAGCCCCACAGAUCCCAGCCCCACAUAUCUAUGGGUCCCAGCCCCACAGAUCCAUGGGUCCCAGCCCCACACAUCUAUGGGUCCCAGCCCCACAGAUCCCAGCCCCAUAGAUCCCAGCCCCAUAGACCGGCUCUGACCGUUCCCUUCCUCGUCCCCCUUCCAUUCCUCCUCUCGGACCGCGGCACUUUUGGCUCCUUUCGGCAUGGCCGACAGCUGCGCAUGCGCCGACCACCGAGACGUGACCAGAGCGCCCCCUCUCUUCCGGUAGUCGCCGGAAGUCCUCCGAGAACGUUCCCUCAUCCCAUUGGCUGCUCCCUGUUAGUCCCGCCCCCUCUCUGAGGUGAUCUCCUCUCCCAUUGGUUGCUCCCGUUUAAUCCCGCCCCCUCUCUGAGGUGAUCUCUUCUCCCAUUGGCUCCUCCCUGUUAAUCCCGCCCCCCCUGAGGCGAUCUGCUCUCCUAUUGGUUCUUCCUUCCUCGUCCCGCCCCCAUCUGAGGUGAUCUCCUUUCCUAUUGGUUCUCCCUGCUUCAUCCCUCCUUACAUGAGGCGAUCUGCGCUCCUAUUAGUGACCGGCACUGAGAUCACCAACCGGAAGUGUCUCACCGGAAGUGUCUCACCGGAAGUUAUCCGAUCGUUAGAACCGCACCGGAAGUACCGGACCGAACCCCUGGGGCGGAGGAGACGAGCGGAGGCCCCGGGGGGGCGGAAGUGGAGGCCUCAGGAGGCGGAAGUGAAGGCCGCGGGGAGCCGGAAGUGGAGGCCUCAGGAGGCGGAAGUGAAGGCCGCGGGGAGCCGGAAGUGAAGGCCGCAAGAGGCGGAAGUGAAGGUCCCGGAAAGGCGGAAGUGAAGGCCCCGGGGGGGCGGAAGUGAAGGCCUC
rnacentral:lncRNA from 1 species